rnacentral:rRNA from 1 species
UACGAAGGGGGCUAGCGUUGCUCGGAAUGACUGGGCGUAAAGGGCGCGUAGGCGGUUUGUACAGUCAGGUGUGAAAUUCCCGGGCUCAACCUGGGGGCGGCACUUGAGACGUGGGAACUGGAGUGAGGAAGAGGGUCGUGGAAUUCCCAGUGUAGAGGUGAAAUUCGUAGAUAUUGGGAAGAACACCGGUGGCGAAGGCGGCGACCUGGUCCUUUUACUGACGCUGAGGCGCGAAAGCGUGGGGAGCAAACAGG